AUUGAACGCUGGCGGCAGGCCUAACACAUGCAAGUCGAGCGAGCGGCGGACGGGUGAGUAAUGUCUGGGAAACUGCCUGAUGGCGGGGGAUAACUACUGGAAACGGUAGCUAAUACCGCAUACCAUCGGAUGUGCCCAGAUGGGAGUAGCUAGUAGGUGGGGUAACGGCGCACCUAGGCGACGAUCCCUAGCUGGUCUGAGAGGAUGACCAGCCACACUGGAAAGGAGACACGGUCCAGACUCCUACGGGAGGCAGCAGUGGUGAAUAUUGCACAAUGGGCGCAAGCCUGAUGCAUCCCUGCCGCGUGUAUGAAGAAGGCCUUCGGGUUGUAAAGUACUUUCAGCGGGGAGGCGUUACCCGCAGAAGAAGCACCGGCUAACUCCGUGCCAGCAGCCGCGGUAAUAC
rnacentral:rRNA from 1 species